CUCCCAUUAAAAAUAUUCCCGCGCCAAAACGCUAGAAGUUAAGAACCCUUCACUGGUUUUUGAAAUCGCAAAUCAACGAGUUAAACACGAGUCAAUUCAAUAACUCAAGAGAAGACUCACAAAUGGACAUAGACAAUCAAGAAGAUCGGUUUCUUGCAUUCAUCGAUCACGCCAGGCGUGGAAGCGAGCAAAGAAGAAGUGGAUUGUCGAAGAAUAGACAGGAAAUUAUGAAUCGGUUGAAAAGGAAACACAGGAGAAAUAAGUUAGCAAAAACUGCGACUCUUGAUUCUGUUUAUGAGAAGAAUUUCUUGUCUUUAAAUAGUGUCUUGGAAGCUGUUAUUGUCGAUGCUUUUGUUAUACCUGAUAGUGAUAUAAAAUUAAAACGUUGCGUGUUUGGUUAUUAGUUGAUUCGUAUGCUUGCUUUGGGUGAUUUUUGGAGCUCGAACACUAUCGACCUUUAUCUACAUCGUAGCCUUGAAGCAACAUGGAAUGAGAAUGCAGCAAGGGCUUCCUUCAUAAACCUUAGUUUUUUGCCUGCAUUGCUGACCUCAUCUUGUCUUCACAAGUUAUCUUGCCCCUCUGAUCUAUCCAGUGAAGCCAGUUGACUCGUCUAGACCAAGUUGAUCAAUGUCAUGCGAAUACAAGAUUUUCACGCUCUCAUUGUGGACAUGUUAACAAGAUUCCUAGUGGGGAGGUCGAAUGCAGCCUCUAAUUGUGAUGCUGAAGUUGCGCGCAUAUUCCACCUAAAAAUCACUCUUGCAGACGAGACUGGAAAAAUGUUUAGCUUGGUUUGUCGGUCAAACUGCCAGAGAGUUGCUGCAGAUAUCCCCUGGUGAAUUCUAUGAUCCCUGAGAUAAGGACUAAGCUCAAUGAUUUAUUUUAUACAGCACAAGCUUCUAUUUCGUUUUUUUACUUAAUGUUCCAUGAACUUUUGAUGAUAUCAACACAAUGUCAUUUGUAAGUACACAUAUUAGGUAUGCCCAUUUACAUCCACUCAUGUAUGCAUAGAUUGAGAAUGGUGCUGCUUUGAACAUCGAUAAAUAUUAAAAAAAAAACUGUCAAUCAAUUUGCUGCAAUUCAUGGUUGUCUAAUUUGCUGUUCGAAGGUUGGUAUUAGACAUCCAUUUUCCAUGGCUCUUUGAGCAUGGAACGGCUCCUGCAGUUUCCUUGGUUUUUCAGCUGCACAAAUCUUCCCUUUUCCCAAGACGCUUAAAAAUUCACGCAGGAGAUGACACAAUCUGAAGCACUGAAAGUAAUUGUAAGCAUAGCGACCACCUCAAAAUCUAGUCACGAAGAAUCUCUUGCAGGCUGACUACAAUUCUCCUUUCCGGGGAAGUUCUAGUUCCUCACUUCAUUCUUGAUUCUUUGUACUUAUUACAGGAUGAACAAUUUAUGUAUCCUUCAUCACCCGAGAAUGAGAGUUUCAUAGUUUCAUUAGUGAAUUGCCAGAGGCAGGGUUAUGGAAUCUGUAGACAGGGUAUAAUCCAGGACCAGGAGGCUGAUGCAAUUCGGUGGGAGAUCACUCGUGCAUUAAGGUGUGAAUAGUUUUGGACAGAAACAAGAAAACAAUUUGCCGCAUUAAAAUUUCCUGGAAAUACAGCAAGAAUCACUCUCAGCAUUCAAUAUUUCCCAGUGAACCUUGAACGGGAUAUCAAGGCAAUCAUGUCAUUGUUGCGAGCCAGGUGUGGAAGUGCGGUAAAUUCGUUGUUCUUUCCUAAUAAUUCAUUAUUUUAUUUUUGAGAGCAUCAUUUCUGCUGCCGAAGGAUCUACUUCCACGUGUCUACUUUGGACGAAAGGCGGGAAAGAAGCCGUGCUUUAAAACGGAUGCUGAGCGAGGCUGUUCCAUCAUCAUCAACGCUGGUGUUAUUAAUAAACUGUUUGUUUUUAUUAAAAAAAAUGUUUAUUUUUAUAUUUUAAAUUAUUAUAUUUUGAUAUUUUUAGAUUAUUUUAAUAUGUUAAUAUUAAAAUUGAUUUUUUUAAAAA